CUGAGACUAAGACCACUCAGAGAUGC
rnacentral:piRNA from 1 species